rnacentral:tRNA from 1 species
UCCCUGGCAGUCCAGUGGUUAGGACUUGGCACUUGCACUGCCAGGGCCCAGGUUCAAUCCCUGAUCAGGGAA